GGGGGCACCGGCUCCCAGAAGGCCGCCCACAGCUCUUGAUGCCAGAUGCUCCCUCAGGUGGAGGACGUUGCUGUGCCCAUAUGGGGCCCUGGCCAGGAUAUCAUCGUAUACUGUAAGUUUGCAAUGAGACACUACAGUAUAGAUGAUGUACUGGUAUGGGCCGCCCUUCAGCUCUGGAACCCAGGAGUGCAGCAGGAGAGCCAGAGAGCUCUGAGAAGAAUUGGGCCAGGCCCCAAGAUGGCACACCAGGAGCGUGGGGAGGAAACCGUUACCAUUACUGUGCUUAGUAAUGGUAACGGUUCUCUUGCUGCACUCGGUGACCGUGCCCACAAGCAGAGAGGUGGAGGAGCCUGGCACUGGACAAGGCGGGGGGAGAGAAUCUCAUCUCUACUGACAUUUUGUAGAAAUAAAAGUGGGAACCAAAA